UCCUGAGACUGAUUUGAUCUCUGCCUUGUCAACACUAAAAUGGGAGUCUAAGCUCCCAUUACAGAGGUUCCAGUUCUCAGAGGCCUGUGAAGGAGAAAGACUGCUUCCCAGAGACACAAACAUUUGUUGGAGCAUAACUGGAUAUAGAAAUGGGCCUAGGGAGGAAUGCAGACUUUGUCUGGGUUGCAUGAGAGAGGCACACCUGAGUCCAGACUGUCCUGUCACUCACUUGUACGAGCUUUAAACUCCAUUUACAACAGUAGAGCUACUCUGGAUUUUCACCAGUGUACGAAAAAGUGAGUUGAAUAUGUCUGUAUGGACCUGACUGGAGCAGAAACAAACAGAAGAAACUGUCAGCUUUACACAGCACAAGAAUUCCCCCAAGCUGACUGAAGGGCAGAUUUAUAGUCCCUUUGCACCACAGAAGAAGCACAAAACGACCGCAUCUGGGCUAAGGCUUUGGGCCCUUAUUUUAAAGAGAAUUGCAAAGAACAUCUGUAAAGCAAUAACACUUCACACUUCUCUGACACCUUUUCACCUGAGGCUGUCAAAGUGCUUUGCAAACUUUAAUAAAUUCAACCCCCAUAACAGAGAUGAUGACUAAGUAUUAACCCCAUUUUACAAGGGAAGAAACAAAGCAAAGACUCUGUUUUGCUCAAUGUCCAACCAUCCAGGCUUUGGAAUGAGUGGUUACUCCUAGGUUCUAUCUCCAGCUUUAACCACUAGACCAAACUAACAUGUAAUUGUGGUAUUUCCCAGUAUGAAAACAUCUCUUGGUAAUCCAACGUAACUUGUAAAAUAUACUGCCCAUAUGAAUC